rnacentral:rRNA from 1 species
GGAUUAGAUACCCUGGUAGUCCACGCCGUAAACGAUGGGUGCUAGCCGUUGGACAGCAUGCUGUUCGGUGGCGCAGCUAGCGCAUUGAGCACCCCGCCUGGGGAGUACGGCCGCAAGGUUAAAACUCAAAGGAAUUGACGGGGGCCCGGCACAAGCGGUGGAGCAUGUGGUUUAAUUCGACGCAACGCGAAGAACCUUACCAGCCCUUGACAUGAACCGGAAUGCCCGCAGAGACGUGGGCAGCCGCAAGGCCGGUUCACAGGUGUUGCAUGGCUGUCGUCAGCUCGUGUCGUGAGAUGUUGGGUUAAGUCCCGCAACGAGCGCAACCCUCGCCAUUAGUUGCCAUCAUUAAGUUGGGCACUCUAGUGGGACUGCCGGUGAUAAG